UACGUAGGGCGCAAGCGUUGUCCGGAAUCAUUGGGCGUAAAGAGCUCGUAGGCGGCCUGUUGCGUCCGCUGUGAAAUCCCGGGGCUUAACCCCGGGCGUGCAGUGGAUACGGGCUGGCUGGAGGCAGGCAGGGGAGAACGGAAUUCCCGGUGUAGCGGUGAAAUGCGCAGAUAUCGGGAGGAACACCGGUGGCGAAGGCGGUUCUCUGGGCCUGUACUGACGCUGAGGAGCGAAAGCGUGGGGAGCGAACAGGAUUGAGAU
rnacentral:rRNA from 1 species